rnacentral:snoRNA from 1 species
AACCCAUGGUGAGGGCACCUUCUCAAUAGAUCCUUGUAUCUCUCCCAUGCAUCGUAAAGUGUUUCUGAGUCC